rnacentral:lncRNA from 1 species
UAGAAAUAGGAAAAGGAAGUUUCUAUUUAGGUUAGGUUUGUGUUUUUCAUAUCCCACAUGUUAAAGGGAAUUGUCUUUCAUAUAAAUAUAGGUCUAAUGGAGAGGUGUUCCAUAUGAUCUGAGAGAAACAUAUUGAGAACUUUAGUUUUGAGUAGUUUCUAAAGCUAAUAAGAAAAGUUGUUCUUAUAACUCUCUGUGUUUCUAAGAGAUCUGAGGCGAUACCUGGCAACAAAAUUAUCUGUUGAUAAAAGAUCACGAUGAAAUUACGUUUUGGGUUCUUCAAAGUUGAUUUGAUGUUACCAUCUCGUCGGUGGAUUUGAGCUCUGUUCAGUACCAUUUUGGGUGUUACUCUUCAUCUCUACGUUGAAGUUUUGCUUCAAAGCGUAAAAAAGACCAGUUCAAGUUCUCUAACCUAGAGCAACGAUCUGUCACUCAGUUCUGAUUGGGUCAGUUGGAUC